rnacentral:rRNA from 1 species
AUUGAACGCUGGCGGCAGGCUUAACACAUGCAAGUCGAGCGGGGUGAUGUAGCUUGCUACAUUACCUAGCGGCGGACGGGUGAGUAAUGCUUAGGAAUCUGCCUAUUAGUGGGGGACAACAUUCCGAAAGGAAUGCUAAUACCGCAUACGCCCUACGGGGGAAAGCAGGGGAUCUUCGGACCUUGCGCUAACAGAUGAGCCUAAGUCAGAUUAGCUAGUUGGUGGGGUAAAGGCCUACCAAGGCGACGAUCUGUAGCGGGUCGGAGAGGAUGAUCCGCCACACUGGGACUGAGACACGGCCCAGACUCCUACGGGAGGCAGCAGUGGGGAAUAUUGGACAAUGGGCGAAAGCCUGAUCCAGCCAUGCCGCGUGUGUGAAGAAGGCCUUUUGGUUGUAAAGCACUUUAAGCGAGGAGGAGGCUACUUAGAUUAAUACCUAGAGAUAGUGGACGUUACUCGCAGAAUAAGCACCGGCUAACUCUGUGCCAGCAGCCGCCGUAACAC